rnacentral:siRNA from 1 species
UAGGAGGUUUACCGCCGAUGG